rnacentral:rRNA from 1 species
GAUGAACGCUGGCGGCGUGCCUAAUACAUGCAAGUCGAGCGAACAGACGAGGAGCUUGCUCCUCUGACGUUAGCGGCGGACGGGUGAGUAACACGUGGAUAACCUACCUAUAAGACUGGGAUAACUUCGGGAAACCGGAGCUAAUACCGGAUAAUAUAUUGAACCGCAUGGUUCAAUAGUGAAAGACGGUUUUGCUGUCACUUAUAGAUGGAUCCGCGCCGCAUUAGCUAGUUGGUAAGGUAACGGCUUACCAAGGCAACGAUGCGUAGCCGACCUGAGAGGGUGAUCGGCCACCCUGGAACGGAGACACGGUCCAGACUCCUACGGGAGGCAGCAGUAGGGAAUCUUCCGCAAUGGGCGAAAGCCUGACGCAGCAACGCCGCGUGAGUGAUGAAGGUCUUCGGAUCGUAAAACUCUGUUAUUAGGGAAGAACAAAUGUGUAAGUAACUAUGCACGUCUUGACGGUACCUAAUCAGAAAGCCACGGCUAACUACGUG